GACGUAGGGCGCGAGCGUUGUCCGGAAUCAUUGGGCGUAAAGAGCGUGUAGGCGGUUCAGUAAGUCUGCUGUGAAAGUCCAAGGCUCAACCUUGGGAUGCCGGUGGAUACUGCUGAGCUAGAGUACGGAAGAGGCGAGUGGAAUUCCCGGUGUAGCGGUGAAAUGCGCAGAUAUCGGGAGGAACACCUAUUGCGAAGGCAGCUCGCUGGGACGUCACUGACGCUGAGACGCGAAAGCGUGGGGAGCAAACAGG
rnacentral:rRNA from 1 species